rnacentral:rRNA from 1 species
AACGCUGGCGGCGUGCCUAAUACAUGCAAGUCGAGCGAACCACUUCGGUGGUGAGCGGCGAACGGGUGAGUAACACGUAGGUGAUCUGCCCAUCAGACGGGGACAACGAUUGGAAACGAUCGCUAAUACCGGAUAGGACGAAAGUUUAAAGGUGCUCCUGGCACCGCUGAUGGAUGAGCCUGCGGCGCAUUAGCUAGUUGGUAGGGUAAAGGCCUACCAAGGCGACGAUGCGUAGCCGACCUGAGAGGGUGAACGGCCACACUGGGACUGAGACACGGCCCAGACUCCUACGGGAGGCAGCAGUAGGGAAUCUUCGGCAAUGGGCGAAAGCCUGACCGAGCAACGCCGCGUGAAUGAUGAAGGCCUUCGGGUUGUAAAAUUCUGUUAUAAGGGAAGAACGACUUUAGUAGGAAAUGGCUAAAGUGUGACGGUACCUUAUGAGAAAGCCACGGCUAACUACGUGCCAGCAGCCGCGGUAAUACGUAGGUGGCAAGCGUUAUCCGGAAUUAUUGGGCGUAAAGAGCGCGCAGGUGGUUGAUUAAGUCUGAUGUGAAAGCCCACGGCUUAACCGUGGAGGGUCAUUGGAAACUGGUCGACUUGAGUGCGGAAGAGGGAAGUGGAAUUCCAUGUGUAGCGGUGAAAUGCGUAGAGAUAUGGAGGAACACCAGUGGCGAAGGCGGCUUCCUGGUCUGUAACUGACACUGAGGCGCGAAAGCGUGGGGAGCAAACAGGAUUAGAUACCCUGGUAGUCCACGCCGUAAACGAUGAGUGCUAAGUGUUGGGGGUCGAACCUCAGUGCUGAAGUUAACGCAUUAAGCACUCCGCCUGGGGAGUACGGUCGCAAGACUGAAACUCAAAUGAAUUGACGG